ACUGAACGCUGGCGGCAGGCCUAACACGUGCAAGUCGAGCGGAUGACGGGAGCUUGCUCCUUGAUUCAGCGGCGGACGGGUGAGUAAUGCCUAGGAAUCUGCCUGGUAGUGGGGGACAACGUUUCGAAAGGAACGCUAAUACCGCAUACGUCCUACGGGAGAAAGCAGGGGACCUUCGGGCCUUGCGCUAUCAGAUGAGCCUAGGUCGGAUUAGCUAGUUGGUGAGGUAAUGGCUCACCAAGGCGACGAUCCGUAACUGGUCUGAGAGGAUGAUCAGUCACACUGGAACUGAGAAACGGUCCGGACUCCGACGGGAGGCAGCAGUGGGGAAUAUUGGACAAUGGGCGAAAGCCUGAUCCAGCCAUGCCGCGUGUGUGAAGAAGGUCUUCGGAUUGUAAAGCACUUUAAGUUGGGAGGAAGGGCAGUAAGUUAAUACCUUGCUGUUUUGACGUUACCGACAGAAUAAGCACCGGCUAACUCUGUGCCAGCCGCCGCCGUAACAC
rnacentral:rRNA from 1 species